rnacentral:rRNA from 1 species
GACGAACGCUGGCGGCGUGCUUAACACAUGCAAGUCGAACGGAAAGGCCCUGCUUUUGUGGGGUGCUCGAGUGGCGAACGGGUGAGUAACACGUUAGUAACCUUCCCUUUACUUUGGGAUAACUUCAGGAAACUGGGGCUAAUACCGGAUAGGAGCUCCUGCUGCAUGGUGGGGGUUGGAAAGUUUCGGCGGUUGGGGAUGGACUCGCGGCUUAUCAGCUUGUUGGUGGGGUAGUGGCUUACCAAGGCUUUGACGGGUAGCCGGCCUGAGAGGGUGACCGGCCACAUUGGGACUGAGAUACGGCCCAGACUCCUACGGGAGGCAGCAGUGGGGAAUAUUGCACAAUGGGCGGAAGCCUGAUGCAGCAACGCCGCGUGCGGGAUGACGGCCUUCGGGUUGUAAACCGCUUUCGCCUGUGACGAAGCGUGAGUGACGGUAAUGGGUAAAGAAGCACCGGCUAACUACGUG